rnacentral:lncRNA from 1 species
AGAAAAGCCAUAAACACAAACAUAACAUACCUGCUGCUACAAAAUGACCUUCAUGUCAUCCUCACCAUCUUUCCACCACCACCUAGUUCUCUAAAUUGGUAACCGACCCCAGCAACCUCCCAAAGACAGACCAAGCAGCAACCUUUUGCUGCACAACCGCCUCCUGCCUAUAACUGUCGACGUUCAACCCACGACCACCUAUAACUUCCCAACUAAGUACUUCCAAUAACUACUCACAAAAUAACCGUCCUCGAUCACUCCAUCCCUAAUAACUCACGACACAUUCACUACCCCAAAGAAUCCACUACCCUCCAUCUCCGUGACUCCCAUCACAUAUCUCAAGUAAACCGCUUGCACAAUCAUCUACCACAAACAAGCCCAUAAUCCACUUCAUUAUUCGACACUCUCACAGUCCAUGUACACGAAACCACCAUUACACCAAAGCUAUUUUUGCAAUAACCUGAGAUACCCACACCGCGACCGUCGCCUCAAUGCGUAACAUUCAAGGACCAAUCGUUGAUCGCUCUUAAACCGGUGUCCCUAAGCAGUCAAAACUCUCCUUCCACUGCCACAAUCAACUGUUACCACCGAACAUUAAAUAGAAACCGGAUCCGUAUCGACCAUAUACGAAUCCAAUGAUUACUCCCACUGCCCUCUUCAAAUUCAAAACAUCUGCUGCCAAACAAUUUCGCCUGCACAAUCGUGAAGUUCCAUCGCAGUUGCCAUCCCCACAAUCGACGGUUCUCACUCGACCAUCUCUUUGUCUCUCCCCUGCGCUUUGCCGUCUCAACUUCACGUGAG